rnacentral:tRNA from 1 species
CAGUAGCUCAGUGGAUAGAGCAGCCGCCUUCUAAGCGGUAGGUCGAGGGUUCGAAUCCUUCCUGGUGC